GAUGAACGCUGGCGGCGUGCCUAAUACAUGCAAGUCGAGCGAACGGACGAGAAGCUUGCUUCUCUGAUGUUAGCGGCGGACGGGUGAGUAACACGUGGAUAACCUACCUAUAAGACUGGGAUAACUUCGGGAAACCGGAGCUAAUACCGGAUAAUAUUUUGAACCGCAUGGUUCAAAAGUGAAAGACGGUCUUGCUGUCACUUAUAGAUGGAUCCGCGCUGCAUUAGCUAGUUGGUAAGGUAACGGCUUACCAAGGCAACGAUGCAUAGCCGACCUGAGAGGGAGGUCGGCCAGACUGGAACUAGGGCACGGUCCAGACUCCUACGGGAGGCAGCAGUAGGGAAUGUUCCGCAAUGGGCGAAAGACUGAAGGAGUAACGCAGCGGGAGUGAUGAAGGUCUUCGGAUCGUAAAAAUCUGUUACUAGGAAAGAACAUAUGUGUAAGUAACUGUGCACAUCUAGACGGUACAUAAUCAGAAAGCCACGGCUAACUACGUA
rnacentral:rRNA from 1 species